rnacentral:lncRNA from 1 species
UUAUCUAAUAAAUUAUGGUUCCAACUCCAAAUGUCCUCCACCCAAUCUCCCAUCUCUACAACACUACCUUUUUUUUGCAAAGAGGCAAGGUCAAAUAGAACUAGGAAAAGGCUUCUUUAAGCUUUAAUUCCCCAUCCAAAUGUUGAACUAAAACACAAUCUCAUUUCCGAUACCAAGGGAACACUUCAAGUUAUCAGCAAAAAUGUACUUAUUCAAGCUAGAAUCAUACCUCAAAUAGAUGAGAUCUCCC